AAAGGAUUGGUAAGUUUGGAAUGAGAUGUUUGGAGCAGCCUGACAUUUGAAAGUAUUUCCUUCGGUGGUAGUUAAAUAUCUUCUUUCUUAAAGGUGGAGCAAGACUUCAUUCUCCUAUUUGAUGAUGAGACAUCCUCCAGGCUGCUUCAGAAGUGGGGUGUGUUCUUCAAACCAAACAUCAUAAAAGAGGCUAAGCGACUUACUUCAACACCAGAGUUGCGGCGCUUGUUACAGUCAGCAGAAUGUUCCAUUGGAAGUGAUGAGGCAACAUCUUACGACCAUGAAAUGGCCUCCCUGUUGUUGCUCAUACAUCUCUUUCCACCACCACCAGGAGGACCGAAGUCUCCAAAAAUCAGUGCAUGUGAUGCCAUUGAGAGACUUGUUGUCUUUCAUAAGUCAUGCUGCAGUAUGGAGGAGCAUCUCCGCAACCAGCAGGGACGGCAGCCAUACCUCCUCGCUGUUGGCCGUCAGAAGAGCAAGAUGGACAGCUUUUACAUUGCCAUGGAUAAGCAUCUCAUCCCAUGCCAGGCAAACCGCUCCCUUGGGGCAUUUGAUGAACUUUUCAAAGCACAUUUUGAUGAAUAUAAAGUUGGGCUUGUUGUUUGCAGUGCAAUGGAAGAAGACAUUCCAGUCUUUUGUCAAAUACGUGAUAUACUUUUGGUUGAAGACCACAUUUUUUUUAUGACAAUCAAGCUAUUCACAGAUAAUUUUGAUUGUCAUUAUCAUGCAUUCAGGGUAUCACAAAGUGAGCAAAGGUUUAUAAUAAAAAUGUCUGAGCUUAAAUUUCACAAACCAUUUGAUAUCCAAAGCUCAUGCAAUGUUUCAGAUGAAAGUUUGUACAUUUUACCUUCAUUCAUUAUGUUUUAGGUCAACUGUAUUAAUGACUG